rnacentral:lncRNA from 1 species
AAAAUAAUUUUAAUUCAAAAUAUGAAAGAGGAAAUUAUUUGAAUUUUUUUUGGUGAAACUCUCAUAUUUUUUGGAUCAUUAUUAAAAUUAAUAUGAAUUAAUGAAAAUCAAAGGAAUAAAAAUAAAAAUAAAAAAAUCAAAAAAACGGGAACCACUUGAUCUCCCUCAUUAAUUGAGGUGGCAGAUUAAGUGGUCUGAAACGCG